CCCAGUAGUUUCAGUGGAAAAUGUUAUUAAAAAUUUACAAAUUUCAUAAAAAUUGUUGAAAAUUGACUAUAAAGGACAAUAACUCCUUAGGGGGGUCAAUUGACCAUUUCGGUCAUGUUGACUUAUUUGUAAAUCUUACUUUGCUGAACAUUAAUGCUGUUUACAGUUUAUCUCUAUCUAUAAUAAUAUUCAAGACAAUAACCAAAAAGAGCAAAAUUUCCUUAAAUUUACCAAUUCAGGGGCAGCAACCCAACAACGGGUUGUCCGAUUCAUCUGAAAAUUUCGGGACAGAUAGAUCUUGACCUGAUAAACAAUUUAACCCCAUGUCAGAUUUGCUCUAAACGCUUUGGUUUUUGAGUUAUAAGCCAAAAACUGCAUUUUACCCCUAUGUUCUAUUUUUAGCCAUGGUGGCCAUCUUGGUUGGAUGGCCGGGUCAUCGGACACAUUUUUUAAACUAGAUACCCCAAAGAUGAUUGUGGAUAAGUUUGGAUUAAUUUGGCCCAGUAGUUUCAGAGGAGAA
rnacentral:lncRNA from 1 species